rnacentral:rRNA from 1 species
AUGCUUCGCCUCCAAAGCUGCAUCGCCUCCCAUCUCCUCUCGUCUCCAUCCGCCCAUCUCCGCCGCCUCCUCUCCGCGGCCGCGCCCGCCGUUUCCCCGAGCACGGGAUUCGCUGCGGAGGAGUACCUCGUCGCCACCUGCGGCCUCACCCGAGCGCAGGCCCUCAAGGCUUUCCCGAAGGUCUCCCACCUCAAGUCCCCCUCCAAUCCCGACGCCGUCCUCGCCUUCCUCGGCGGCCUCGGCCUCUCCAGAGCCGACGUCGCCGCCGCCGUCGCCAAGGACCCCAGGCUACUCUGCGCCCGCGUGGAGAGUACUCUGGCCCCCAACUUCGCUGCGCUCAGCGGCAUCGGGCUGUCGCGCUCCGAGAUCGUGCGCCUCCUCCGCUUGCGCUGCAGAUCUGUCGUCUCCAAGCUGCAGUACUACCUGACCCUCUUCGGCUCCUCCGAGGCCUUCCUUCAGGCGCUGAAGUUCAACUGCAACCUCCUCACACACAGCAUCGAGAGUGCGGUCGAGCCCAAUGUAGCGUUGCUGCGGGAGUGCGGGCUGGGUGAUCGCGACAUUGCCAAGCUAUGCGUUGGUAUGCCAUGGCUGCUGACUGCCAACCCAGAAUGCAUCGGAUCAAUGGUUGCUCGCGCCGACGGUCUUGGCGUGAGCCGGGAAUCUCCCAUGUUCAGGCACGCGAUGCAUGCUGUUGCAUUCCACAGCGAGGAGAAGAUUGCUGCCAAAAUGGAGUACCUGAAAAAGACGCUCAGGUGGUCGGAUGCUGAGGUGCGCAUUGCUUUGUCCAAGUCUCCAAUGAUGCUGAGGAGUUCUGAGGGCAUGGUGCAGCGCAUGUCAGAGUUCCUCUACUCUGAGAUGGGGUUGGAACCAGCAUACAUUGCUCAUCGUCCGGCAAUGCUCGCUUACAGUCUGGAGCGCCGGAUCAGACCCAGGUACUACGUUGUUAAGUAUCUUAAGGAAAAUGGAUUGGUAAGUCGUGACCGGGACUACUAUUCCGCACUCACGCCGUCCGAGAUGGUAUUCUUGGAGAAGUACAUAUGCCCUCACAAGCAAGCUGCGCCGUACCUUGCUGAAGACUAUGAUGAUGCUUGCAGAGGACAAGUGCCCGAUAGGUUCAGAUUUGCAUGA